GAAAACUUCUUCAUCAUUUUGACAGCACACUUGCUGCAAAUACUCGCAACACAACGAAAUACAAAAACAAGCUUCAAAUGCUCAAAACACAAACAAAUACAGAAACAAGCUGCAAAUACUGAACACAAACAAAAUUACCCCAACAAAACGAAAAUUAACCUUUUUUUUGGCGUAUUGAUUACCAUCUGUAUAACCACAGUUGUACAAAUACCAUGGCUAAUAAUAUCCACACAAAAAAGCAACAACAACAACAAAAAAGCUAAGGAAUCAUAUGAUCAGGAUGUUAAAAUAAACAAAGAUCUUUUCAGAGCAAACAUUGAUAAAUUAUGUCCUAGCCAUAUUUGUCACUUUACGGUUCCCUUAAAUAUUUCAGAUGUGGUCUGUGUUUUUGCAGCACGUUUCUUUAUUUAUUUGUAUUGUGAGUAUUUGCAGCGCGUGUUGUCAAACUGAUGAAGAUGUUUUCUUAAUUUGCAGGUGUUUUAUCAUUUGCAGUGCGUUAAGCUCUCUCGGCCACCGUAGCAGGUCCUGUUGGGGUAUGGAUGUGUUUGUUUUGGUGCUAAAGAAUCGGGUCAGGGCAGACGCAGGCUGAAGCACAAUAAUAAUCUUACCAUUACUUUGUACCCACCUUCUCACUACAGGCUGUUCUGUUGUCAAUAAACACACCUGACGAUGGUGCUGCCACUGCAGUUUAUGUUCUCUGUGUGUGUAUGUGCUAUGACUCCUGACCCCGGGGUCCUAUGAGGAGCUGGUAGCUGCCUUAGUUGUGCCUGUAGUGGUAACCAUAGUGAUCAUAUACAGGUGCAUCUCAAAAAAUUUGAAUAUCAUGGAAAAGUUCUUUAUUUUUUGUAAUUUAAUUAAAAAAGCAAACUUUCUUACAGUAUAUUCUAGAUUCACUGCACACAAACUGAAAUAUUUCAAGAGUUUUUUGUUUUAAUUCUGAUGGUUACCACUUGCAGUUUAGAAAAAUAAAAAAUUCAGUAUCUCAAAAAAUUUCAAUAUUUUCAAAGAUCAAUCAAAAAAAGAUUUACAAAACAGAAAUGUUCAAAGAUCUCCAAAGCAGGUUUAAUUAUGCACUCAAUACUUGGUUGGGGCUCCUUUUGCAGGAAUUACUGUUUCAGUGCGGUGUGGCAUGAAGGUGAUCAGCCUGUGGCACUGCUGAGGUGUUAUUGAAGCCCAGGUUGCUUUGAUAGCGGCCUUCAGCUCCUCUGUAUUGUUUUUCAGAUGUUACUUAUCUUCCUCUUCACAAUACCCCUUAGAUUCUCUGUGAGGUUCAGGUCAGGCAUGCUGUCUGGCCAAUCAAGGACAGUAAUAUCAUGGUCAGCAAACCACUUGGAAUUGGUUUUGGCACUGUGAGCAGGUGCUAAAGUCCUGCUGCAAAAAGAAAUCAGCAUCUCCAUAAAGCUUGUCAGCAGAUGGAAGCAUAAAGUGCUCCAAAAUCUCCUGGUAGAUGGCUGCAUUGACUUUGGACUUGAUAAAACACAAUGAACCAACACCAGCAGAUGGAAUGGCACCCAAAUCAUUUCUGACUCCAGAAACUUCACACUGGACUUUGGAUUCUGUGCCUCUCCAGUCUUCCUCCAGACCUUGAUUUCCAAAUGAAAUGCAAAAUUUAUUUAAUCUGAAAAGAGGACUGUGGACCACUGAGCAACAGUCCAGUUCUUUUUCUCCUUACCCCAGGUGAAAUGAUUCUGAUGUUUUUCUGGUUCAGGAGUGGCUUGGUUCUAGGAAUGUGAAACCUGUAGCUCUUUUCCUGAAGAUGUCUGAGCGUGGUGACUCUUGAUGUGCUGACUCCGGCUUCAGUCCACUCCUUGUGAAGCUCUCCCAAGUUCUUGAAUCGGCUUUUCAUGACAAUCUUCCCAAGGCUGUGGUCAUCCCUGCUGCUUUGUGCACCUUUUCCGACCACACUUUUUCCUUCCAGUCAACUUUCUAUGAAUAUAUUUUGAUAUAGCACUCUGUGAACAGCCAGCCCUUUCAGCGAUGUCCUUCAGUGGCUUACCCUCCUUGUGGAGGGUGUUGAUGAUCGUCUUCUGGAUAACUGUUGCAUGUUCUAAACUAGCCCAAGAGGUACCCAGUAUUUAUACUCAAAAUUAAUCAAACUAAUCAAGCUCAAAAUGGAAUAUUCAAAUUUUUUGAGAUACUUAAUUUUUAAUUUUCCUGAGCUGUAAGUUGUAACCAUCAGAAUUAAAACAAAAAACUAUUGAAUUAUUUCAGUUUCUGUGCAAUGAAUGUAGAAUAUAAGAAAGUUUGCUUUUUUUAAUUAAAUUACAAAAAAUAAAGACCUUUUCUAUGAUAUUCAAAUUUUUUGAGAUGCACCUGUACUAUCAUCUUUGACUGAUCUGUUGAAUUUUCUGGACUGAAAAAAUUUGACUGCUGGACAGCUUGGUCCCCGCCAGUUAAAAAAAUCCUAUCUGCGCCCCUGAAGGCGGAAUAGGUGGAAUUGUGCUGAUAUAAGUGUUCUUUCACGCGCACGCUCCACUUCCUCAGUUCUCAUAUACACUCAAAUACACACACAGCAGUCCAAAUGUUUAUCGUGUAGAGUAUCUCACGUAAAUAUAGUAGGUUAUGGAUUAAGUGAACGUGAACAGGUGGGUGAAAACUGAACGUGUGUCAGUAUUUCAUGCAUGCCUUCCAUCUUAAAAGGACAGCAUUCCAAAUUAAAUACCUAUCUGUCAUUAAUGUUAACCAACAAAAGAUGUUAAAUAAAUGUAUACAUGUUAAGUAAAACCUACUGUAUCUGAAAAAUGAGUUUAAUUUGUAUCUCUAUUGUAUUUGUCUUAUUGUGCUUCUUUUAUAUAUAUAUAUAUAGAGAGAGAGAGAGAGAGAGAAAGAGAGAGAGAAUAAUAUUUUUAUAAGUUGCUCCUUUUUCACUACUGUUAAAGGGAUAGUUCACCCAAAAAUGAAAAUUGUCAUAAUUUAUUCAAGUUUUUCCAAAUUCAGUCCUUGAUUCAAAUUUCUCAUAAGCUUAAUUGAUUUGGUCUAAAGAGAGAAGAAUUAAUGAUAAUGAAUAAAAAUAGCUACCAAAAUAAAUUUUGGUAACUACAGUUUGGCUAAAACUAUUGACUAAAAGUAAUGACUAAAAGUUGACAAAAAUGCAAUGACUUUUCGUUCGACUAAAACUAUGAAAGACUCAAAUGACUAAAAUGUGACUAAGACUAUUAAGCAUUUUCUUCUCAAAUCAACAAUGCCUGCCAAAAUUAACACUGUUGUGUACAGUCGUGGCCAAAAGUUUUGAGAAUUACAUAAAUAUUGGAAAUUGGAAAAGUUGCUGCUUAAGUUUUUAUAAUAGCAAUUUGCAUAUACUCCAGAAUGUUAUGAAGAGUGAUCAGAUGAAUUGCAUAGUCCUUCUUUGCCAUGAAAAUUAACUUAAUCCCAAAAAAAACUUUCCACUGCAUUUCAUUGCUGUCAUUAAAGGACCUGCUGAGAUCAUUUCAGUAAUCAUCUUGUUAACUCAGGUGAGAAUGUUGACGAGCACAAGGCUUGAGAUCAUUAUGUCAGGCUGAUUGGGUUAGAAUGGCAGACUU
ensembl:lncRNA